GCUUCCUUAGCUCAGUGGUAGAGCAUUGUACUUAUGGGCGCCCUACGUUACCCUUUCCAUGCAAGGGUCACCAGUUCGAACCUGGUAGGAAGCA
rnacentral:tRNA from 1 species